rnacentral:rRNA from 1 species
AGAGUUUGAUCCUGGCUCAGGACGAACGCUGGCGGCGUGCCUAAUACAUGCAAGUCGAACGCACUCUCGUUUAGAUUGUAGGAGCUUGCUCCUGAUUGAUAAACAUUUGAGUGAGUGGCGGACGGGUGAGUAACACGUGGGUAACCUGCCCUAGAGUGGAGGAUAACAUUUGGAAACAGGUGCUAAUACCGCAUAAAACCUAACACCGCAUGGUGUAGGGUUGAAAGAUGGUUUCGGCUAUCACUUUAGGAUGGACCCGCGGUGCAUUAGUUAGUUGGUGAGGUAAAGGCUCACCAAGACCGUGAUGCAUAGCCGACCUGAGAGGGUAAUCGGCCACACUGGGACUGAGACACGGCCCAGACUCCUACGGGAGGCAGCAGUAGGGAAUCUUCCACAAUGGACGAAAGUCUGAUGGAGCAACGCCGCGUGAGUGAAGAAGGUUUUCGGAUCGUAAAACUCUGUUGUUGGAGAAGAAUGUAUCUGAUAGUAACUGAUCAGGUAGUGACGGUAUCCAACCAGAAAGCCACGGCUAACUACGUGCCAGCAGCCGCGGUAAUACGUAGGUGGCAAGCGUUGUCCGGAUUUAUUGGGCGUAAAGCGAGCGCAGGCGGUUUCUUAAGUCUGAUGUGAAAGCCUUCGGCUCAACCGAAGAAGUGCAUCGGAAACUGGGAAACUUGAGUGCAGAAGAGGACAGUGGAACUCCAUGUGUAGCGGUGAAAUGCGUAGAUAUAUGGAAGAACACCAGUGGCGAAGGCGGCUGUCUGGUCUGUAACUGACGCUGAGGCUCGAAAGCAUGGGUAGCAAACAGGAAUAGAUACCCUGGUAGUCCAUGCCGUAAACGAUGAGUGCUAGGUGUUGGAGGGUUUCCGCCCUUCAGUGCCGCAGCUAACGCAUUAAGCACUCCGCCUGGGGAGUACGACCGCAAGGUUGAAACUCAAAGGAAUUGACGGGGGCCCGCACAAGCGGUGGAGCAUGUGGUUUAAUUCGAAGCAACGCGAAGAACCUUACCAGGUCUUGACAUCCCUUGACCACUCUAGAGAUAGAGCUUUCCCUUCGGGGACAAAGUGACAGGUGGUGCAUGGUUGUCGUCAGCUCGUGUCGUGAGAUGUUGGGUUAAGUCCCGCAACGAGCGCAACCCUUAUUACUAGUUGCCAGCAUUAAGUUGGGCACUCUAGUGAGACUGCCGGUGACAAACCGGAGGAAGGUGGGGACGACGUCAAAUCAUCAUGCCCCUUAUGACCUGGGCUACACACGUGCUACAAUGGCUGGUACAGAGAGAUGCAAUACCGUGAGGUGGAGCCAAACUUUAAAACCAGACUCAGUUCGGAUUGUAGGCUGAAACUCGCCUACAUGAAGCCGGAGUUACUAGUAAUCGCGAAUCAGAAUGUCGCGGUGAAUACGUUCCCGGGUCUUGUACACACCGCCCGUCA